rnacentral:tmRNA from 1 species
GGGCCGCUGGAAGAUUCGAUUGGGAGGGUAGGCGCCCGUAAGCAUACCGCAGGCUCGGCUGCGUUAAAACGGAAACUUAAAUUUAAAUGCAGAUUCUAACAACGAAUUAGCAUACGCUGCUUAAUUAAGCGUUGUCUUUCGUCGGUUACCUAUCGGCCGGCGGCGGGCAUCAAUUUCAGAAUAGGGUACGAAACGCGCGUUUUUGCCGCGGCGUUCGUUUCGUAAAAAGCGGCAUAUUCCUCCGGCGGUUCGUCCGCCGAAAGCCGGAGGCGGAGAAUAAAGGCGGAAUAAGUAUGUAGAAAGCGGGGCUGAAACUUUCAAGACACGGGGGCGGUACCCGUGCGGUCCACCA